GGAGAGAGGAGGAAGGGGUGAGAGGGAGAAACCUGCCGCGGCUCUCCGCCUCUUUGUCUGCUCUGGGACUUGGAACAAAAGGGGAAACUCUGAUGAACUCCUUCUCCAGCUCCCUGGACGCCCGAGUAUCUCUUUCUCGCAACUUUGUCAACGCGACUUUCUCCGCUGUCAGGCUGCGCAAAAGUAUCCUAGCGCCUCGCAGGCUGCAACAAUGGAAACAAUGUCCCUUCAAAGUGCGACGAAGUGGAGGGAGAAGGUGUCAUACCAGCGACUCCAAGAGUCAUGUCACCCACUUAGCAGGAGUACUUCUACUGAAAUGCCUUCGAAUUUCUCUUACUGGAUAUAUACCUACCAGCCGCUAGCAUGAAGAUGCCAGGACCGCUGCAAGUUAGCACUGGACAAAGUAGCAUCAACUUCUUCAUUUAGAGUUUCUUCAGUUAAAUUGCUGGGAUUUUCGACAAGGCUUUCCUUAUGUGGAUUAUUGGAGUGUGAUGCCCGAGAAUUCUCUACUUGUAGAAGCACGCCCACGGGACUGCAGAAGCCUUCACACCCACCCAGCACGCUCAGAUCAUCCAGUAACCAACCCAGGAAGUUCUUGUAAGCAUGCAUUUCUUAGUCAACACUGAAUGCCUUUAGACCGAGGUCAACCUUUUCAGCUGGUACCGUGGUUUACACUGCUGGGUUGAUGGCCUAACACUGGCUUAACACUCAUGUCGGCUGCACUAAUUGAAGUCACAUCCAAGUGGGUCAAUGCACUGAACAUAUCUGAUAUAGAAGGUCCCAGAUCCUGAAUUUUUAUCAAUGGUUUGCUGUAUAAGGCUUGCCUCCCAAAUAGCUGAGGACCCUUAUUUGGGAAGAUACGUUCUGAUGGUUAAGCAACAGCACAGAUGUCGAUGGGAAUGAGUGAUGGCCAUCCAGUGACCAGCUGGAUCUGACUGCCUUACAAGACGCAUGUGUAUGAUUAAGAGAGAGACAUUCGUGACUCCCAGAUGUACCUCCUUCCUGUCCCACAGUGUUCCUGAAGGGAGUGAGUUAUGGGGUAACUUAUAACACAGCAGGCUCUUCCUCAAGAUAGCUCUUGUCAAAACAGGAAGACGAAACUCGGGUUUCCAUGAGGAGACCACAGCUUGGGAUCCUGUCUGGAUGUACAAGCAGAAGCAUCUUCAUACUUUUCCAUUUCUAACCAUCAUGCCUCACCCCACCCUCCCAAGGCGACAUCUGCAGAGAGGUGGAACCAUCUAGGGAGGCCUGCCACUGUUUGCUGAGCUCCGGGUGAGGAUGAAGACACUUUGACAUGGCCAGCUUCAGACUCGGGAUCUGUCGGUGUUAGCAGCCGAAGGAGAAUGAGGAGGAAGAGGAGGAGAAAGAGGAGGAGGAAGUAAGACAGAGGGGGACAAGAGGACCAAGAGGGCACAUGGCUGAGGAGGAGGAGAACAACAACAACAACAACAACAACAACAACAACAAGAAGCUUGGUGGACUCUGGAAUUGGCUAAAGAGAUGAUGACAAACCUUCUCCAGCCAGUGGCCAUGGAUUAGACUUUUUCAGGAUGUGUUCCUGAGUCUCGUGAGUAGCACAUGGCAGUUGUUGUCACCUUGGGCUGAGCCGUGAAGAUUCUCACCCUCCCUUGUUGGGGAUGAACUCCGGGAUUCUAAGGAGAGGUCAGCAGGUGUUUCACAGACUGUUCCUGUUGGAGGAUUUGUCUGAUACUCUUCUCCUGAUUAGUCUGGGCUCUACAUUUCCCCAAGGGUGAAACUUGGAAGCCCUCUCCAGGAUGCAGCAGGUAGCUGAGGAGAAAACGAAGACUGACCAGCCCAGAGCUCAGAGCUUCCUCCCAUGCUCAGGAUUUACCACCAAUGCCAUUACAUCGGCCUCUUCUUGUAUGCCUCUGGAAACCACAUGUGUCCUCUGUUUGUAAUGGUUUGGCUAUGGUUGCUGGCCCCUCUUGGACAUUGUUUUCAGAACUUAAAGAAACAUUGCUUUAAAGAUUUAUUAGAACAUAUUUAAAAUAAAACCAUCUUCUCAUUUA
rnacentral:lncRNA from 1 species